GACGAACGCUGGCGGCGUGCUUAACACAUGCAAGUCGAACGGAAAGGCCCUGCUUUUGUGGGGUGCUCGAGUGGCGAACGGGUGAGUAACACGAGUGUCACCUGCUCUUCUUUGGGGUAUCUUUACGAGACACUGGCUCAUAUAGCGUAUAAGCGCUCCCUGCGCGGGGGGGGGGGGAGAGAGUUUCGGCGGUUGGGGAUGGACUCGCGGCUUAUCAGCUUGUUGGUGGGGUAGUGGCUUACCAAGGCUUUGACGGGUAGCCGGCCUGAGAGGGUGACCGGCCACAUUGGGACUGAGAUACGGCCCAGGCUCCUACGGGAGGCAGCAGUGGGGAAUAUUGCACAAUGGGCGGAAGCCUGAUGCAGCAACGCCGCGUGCGGGAUGACGGCCUUCGGGUUGUAAACCGCUUUCGCCUGUGACGAAGCGUGAGUGACGGUAAUGGGUAAAGAAGCACCGGCUAACUACGUG
rnacentral:rRNA from 1 species